AUUGAACGCUGGCGGCAGGCCUAACACAUGCAAGUCGAACGAGUGGCGGACGUGUGAGUAAUGUCUGGAAAACUGCCUGAUGGAGGGGGAUAACUACGGGAAACGGUAGCUAAUACCGCAUACCAUCAGAUGUGCCCAGAUGGGAUUAGCUUGUUGGUGGGGGAACGGCUCACAAAGGCGACUAUCCCUAGCUGGUCUGAGAGGAUGACCAGCAACAAUGGAACUGAGACACGGUCCAGACUCCUAGGGGAGGCAGAAGUGGGGAAUAUUGCACAAUGGGAGCAAGCCGGAUGCAGCCAUGCCGCGUGGAUGAAGAAGGCCUUCGGGUUGUAAAGGACUUUCAGAGGGGAGGCGUUACCCGCAGAAGAAGCACCGGCUAACUCCGUGCCAGCAGCCGCGGUAAUAC
rnacentral:rRNA from 1 species